rnacentral:rRNA from 1 species
UACGUAGGGGGCAAGCGUUGUCCGGAAUCAUUGGGCGUAAAGAGCGUGUAGGCGGCCCGAUAAGUCCGCUGUGAAAGUCCAGGGCUCAACCCUGGAAUGCCGGUGGAUACUGUCGGGCUCGAGUCCGGAAGAGGUGAGUGGAAUUCCUGGUGUAGCGGUGAAAUGCGCAGAUAUCAGGAGGAACACCCGUAGCGAAGGCGGCACUCUGGGCCGAUACUGACACUGAGGAGCGAAAGCGUGGGGAGCGAACAGG